UGUGUGUGUGUGUGUAUAUAUAUAUAUAUGUGUGUGUGUGUGUGUAUAUAUAUAUAUAUAUAUAUACACACACACACACC